GCUAGCCUGCCGCGCGCGCCUAUAGAACUCUUGUUGGAUCGGCUCAUAUCGUCAAAGCAAGGAAGGCCAGGCACAUGUUUUGUCUCUUUUUCCACAACUCCACAGCUAGUUGUGCACGCAACUACUAUCCAACGGCCUAUAUUGUUUUAAGAUCUGUGCAAUGUGUAUUUUACAUCUAUGCCCUCCCAUAAAGAAGCCAAAGUGUAAUAUCUACAAAUCAAUCAAUUAUCAUAUCCCUGCCUACCCCCACUCCCAUCUCUCCCCAGUUUCCACCCGGCGAGCUGCCGCCUACCCCCGCAUCCUCCGACCUGACGCCUCCUCCUGCCUCUCCACGCCCACCUCCUCUCCUCCGGCCACCUCACCUCCUCACCGGCCAUGCUCACAUCUCUAGUCUCCCUCUACGUACGCACGCGUCCCGGCCCUCCACGCCCACCUCCCGCUCCUCCUCUCCCACUUCUCCCUGGCUCUGAUCGGAUGGGAUCCGGCGGGAUCCGCCUCCCUCGGGCCGGAUCGAGCGGGAUCCGCGCGACCGCCGCCGGCCAUCGGGGUCUAAUUUCUCUUCGUUUUUUUCCCUCUGUUCAUACGAGCUUCACGUUCUGCGCCAUGGCGCCGAGCAAAGGGACCUGGCAUGAAGGACCUCUCCAUCCUUCGUUUGAUUUUUUGCUUCUAAAUCUGAAAAUUUUGUUCGUCCUUUGGCAACUCUCGGCUCCGGCAACUCCUUCCUCCAUCUGUGUUGAUGUUUUUUUCUCAAUUUUUCAGAUCCGAAAUUCUUGGCAUGUUUCUUGUUUUGUUCCAAAAUUUACGUGCUUUCUUUUAUUUAUUAAUUUCCUUGUUUUGCAUUCUCGAGGGAGAGAGAUAAAUUAGGAUCUGCUGCAUUCUCGAGGGAAAGAGAGAAAUUAGGAUCUGCUGCCAUUUUUCCCCAGCCCAAAGCAUUUUGUGAUUAGAAGUGUGUAAAAUUUUGGACGCAUGAAAAAAUACAUACCAGGAGAAGAAGUUUCCACAGUAGAAGAAAAGAAAAAUGAAAUUCGUAAAAUUAUGGAGAAGUGACUUGCCAGUCGAUGAAGAUCUUGCGAAAUGUAUAAGAAAAACAAGUACGGGUUCUAUACUUGUAUUCUCGGACAGCCAGGGUUGUCCAAUUCACCGGGUGUUGAAGAAUGAAAUUCAUAAACAUUUGAUGGUGUGUAUGAAAGAAGUUAAGGACUGGACAAUGAGAAAGACCAAAAACAUGAAGGUGCAAGUUGUAAAAAGACAGCACGAAUCUCCAAGAAUCCUGCGGCUAGGAUAGUAGAUGUCGGUCAAACUAGUUGUGGGAAUGAGUUUUUGCAUGUUUUGGAGGUAGCUUGGCAGCUGCUUGGUGGAAAAAAUGGCCAAGAGAGCCACCCAGUACGCCAGUACACGGGCCUGGCCCUGUUAGUAACUGUUCCUUUGUUCUUUCUGGAUUUGCUUGGAGUAGCACACAGUUAGUUUGCUCGCAUUUGAAGUGAUUUACAUAUAUAGGUGAAUGCGUUCGCGGACGAGGCGUUCAAGGGCAACCCGGCGGCGGUGUGCCUCUUGGAGGGGGAGGACGUCAAUGGCGCCGACGAGCGGUGGUUGCAGUCUGUCGCCACGGAGUUCAACGCCCCCAUGACUGCCUUCCUCUCCCGUACUACUCACGCCGCCGCCGCCGCCGCGCCUCCGCGGUUCCACAUCCGCUGGUUCAGCCCCGUCACGGAGGUCACGCUCUGCGGGCACGCCACGCUCGCGGCCGCCCACUUCCUCUUCACCGCCGUUCUGAUCGCCGCGGAGGACGGUGAUGACAUGAUGGCCGAGUUCGUGACCAAGUCCGGGAUGAUCCUGGCUGCCAAGAAGGUUCCCGCACCAGUACUGCAGAGUCAGGUCAGCAGUAGUACUUGUCCGGCGUUCAUCGAGCUGGAUUUCCCCAUAUGUACGUGAGGUUUUCGUGGAGUCCACCCACAACGAGCUGCCAUCCCUAUUUUUAAACGCCGAUCUCCGGAUCGCCAGCGUUCACAGGACGUCCCUGUUUUUGAACGACGGGCUCAAGGUCGCCAGCGUUCACAGGACGUCAAUCACCGACGACUUUAUUCCAUAUGGGGAAUCAAAUCGGCAAGAACGUACCUAGGGUUUGUCGGCGGAGGAGGAAGACGGUGCGGAUGGAGGAG